rnacentral:rRNA from 1 species
UACAGAGGUCUCAAGCGUUGUUCGGAUUCAUUGGGCGUAAAGGGUGUGUAGGUGGCGCCGUAAGUCGGGGGUGAAAUUUCGGAGCUUAACUCCGAAACUGCAUUCGAUACUGCGGUGCUUGAGGACUGGAGAGGAGACUGGAAUUCAUGGUGUAGCAGUGAAAUGCGUAGAGAUCAUGAGGAAGACCAGUGGCGAAGGCGGGUCUCUGGACAGUUCCUGACGCUGAGGCACGAAGGUCAGGGGAGCAAACGGG